rnacentral:rRNA from 1 species
AUUGAACGCUGGCGGCAGGCUUAACACAUGCAAGUCGAGCGGGGUGAUGGUGCUUGCACUAUCACUUAGCGGCGGACGGGUGAGUAAUGCUUAGGAAUCUGCCUAUUAGUGGGGGACAACACCUCGAAAGGGAUGCUAAUACCGCAUACGUCCUACGGGAGAAAGCAGGGGAUCACUUGUGACCUUGCGCUAAUAGAUGAGCCUAAGUCGGAUUCGCUAGUUGGUGGGGUAAAGGCCUACCAAGGCGACGAUCUGUAGCGGGUCUGAGAGGAUGAUCCGCCACACUGGGACUGAGACACGGCCCAGACUCCUACGGGAGGCAGCAGUGGGGAAUAUUGGACAAUGGGGGGAACCCUGAUCCAGCCAUGCCGCGUGUGUGAAGAAGGCCUUAUGGUUGUAAAGCACUUUAAGCGAGGAGGAGGCUCUUUUGGUUAAUACCCAAGAUGAGUGGACGUUACUCGCAGAAUAAGCACCGGCUAACUCUGUGCCAGCCGCCGCGGUAA